CGUGCACCGAGGCAGGCCUCCCAGCGAGGGUGGAGGUCGAAGCCCAUGAUGUCCCUCCGCUCGCAGCAGGGGCCCAGGCGGACCACUCCGUCGGGGCGCUGAGUCUUCGUCUUGCUCGAAGUCGACUGCUAAAUUGCAGCCCCUGAGGAUGAAGACAUGUCCAUACAAGCGGAGCGUGAGGAAAGCUCCCAUGGCAGGGAAAUGUCCACUCCUCGAUCUCGACAUGCAGCCAAAGGUAGUGUCAUUGCUGGCCAUUGCUCCAGGUCCAGGUCCAGACAUCGCCUCGGAUCCGGCAGCAGCAGAGAGGCCUCUAAGAGACACCACAGGUCCGGCAGCAGCAG